rnacentral:rRNA from 1 species
UGCGCAGGCGGGAAAUUAAGUCAGUGGUGAAAUCCUGCAGCUCAACUGUAGAAUUGCCAUUGAUACUGAUUUUCUUGAGUGCAGUUGAGGUGGGCGGAAUGUGUAAUGUAGCGGUGAAAUGCUUAGAUAUUACACAGAACACCGAUUGCGUAGGCAGCUCACUAAACUGUUACUGACGCUCAGGCACGAAAGCGUGGGGAGCGAACAGGAUUAGAUACCCUGGUAGUC